GAACUAGAUUCUGAAUCCAAGGCAAUGAUGAGCUCAGGUGGAGAAAAGCUUCAAAGUGUCAAGAACAAGGUAGGAGUGAAGAGAGAAAGCAGUGCAUUGAAGCAAAGGUUUGGAAACAGUGAGUAGGCAAAAGCAGACUGAGUAUGUCCCAGAGGCAAUGCCUGGAAAUCUCCCAGGCAACUCUCCAGCAUGGGAGGAGCCUUUCAGGAAACUGCUAGAUUCAGCUCAGAUUCAGCUCUUACUAGAUAAAGAAAUAGUUAGGGGAAUCAUGGCAGUUUGGACAAUGCCAAGUGGUGUGAUGGUUAUCAUUAUUCUUACUUUUUUUUUUUUUUUUGCCUUUUCUUCCACUUUAUUUCAUAUUCCCACCACAAUAAUGACUCCCUUAAUUUAAACUAAAAACCGUAGUAGGUCCUUGAAAGGGUGUCAGUGAAGGAAUGAAAAUGUUAAAGACUAAGGCACAGGUGGGGGUGGGGAAUCAUUGAAUCGUCUUGUUUGGGCUCUUGAAGUUGCUGGUGGCUUGGAGCUGCAUUUGGUAGGCCAGUUUCUGGAUCUUGAAACCUUAGAGCUGGGGCACAAACUGAUUGGUGGGCCAUUUGGGCCAAUACUUGGGGUCCACCAUGAAUAUUAUGUGAGGGGAAUAUUAUGUGAGGGGAAUCUGUGUGGUGGUGCCUUGAUGACUUGGGCAUGUACAUGUCCAUGCACUUGGGGCAGUAGAGCUUCACCAUGGCCUCACCUGGACUCUGUGAAAGGCCAAUGGGAAGCAUUGGCUAAUUCUCACAUUACACCCGGGGACAAUAGCCAAAUUCUUCCUGCUGGUAUUUUUACAACAUCUGGGUGAUGCCACAGUUGGGAGGCUGCAGCAGGUGUGGAUCUAUCCAUAGAGCAUUUUAGCUUUCUGCUCAAUCAGGUCUCUGAUUGGGGUUGUCUUUCAGCUUCUCAUCAGGUUCCAGGUCAUGUCUAGAGCUUGUUGAUAGUGAGGCACCUGCUUGUUGAGUCCAGAGAGAUUGAAUUUGUCCUGGAUGUCACUUUCAUCCCUUCACAGAAUUCAUUACCACAGAGCCCACAGAACCAGGAAAUCCAGGACACCUCCUCUGAGCUGCUCAUUGCCACAUCUGUAGCUGGACAGGGACUGGGACCUGUGGUGGCAGGGUGGUGGGAGGUGGUUUCUGCUUCCAAGGAACCUAGGCAAUGGCUACAACUCAGGUUGCAGACCUGACCACGGCAGACCUGACCUCAUUAUUUUUACUUUCCAUAUUAUACUGUGAACUCCUUGAGACCAAGUCCUGUGUCUAAUCCCAUUUUGAAUCCCUGAAUUGCUAGAUGUCAGAGAGUAGAUGUUUAAUAUGAGUUGGUUCAAAGAUAGCAAAUGUCAGCCUUGUGUAUCCCACUGCCUUCAAUGUCUAAGCCACUUUUUAAAUAUCUAGGGCUUCUUAAGCUUGAUUAUGGAUUUUGAGAAAGUUCUUCAUAUUUUAAUCAGUCUUUGUAAUAAGAAUUCAAAUUUAUUUUAUGUAUCUAGAAUAAUUAUUAGGUCAGGAUAUAUUUUCUACUUAGUAAUAGUGUGUAUCUUGUACAGCAGGGAAAUCUAGACACAUUUUGGAAGCGUCAGUGUUUUCCAUAACUUUUUUCUUUUUUUUUGGUCUUUUUUUCAGGGCCACAUCGACAGCAUAGGGAGGUUCCCAGGCCAGGGGUCAAAUUGAAGCUGUAGCUGCUGGCCUACACCACAGCCACAGCAACGUGGGAUCCAAGCUGAGUCUGAGACCUACACCACAGCUCAUGGCAAUGCUGGAUCCUUAAUCCACCGAACAAAGCCAGGGACGCCAGUCAGAUUCAUUUCCAUGAGCCAAGAUGGGAACUCCUCCAUAAAUUUUUUGUUUUGCAAAAGAUUUUAAAGAUCUUGAAAAUAAAAAUGGGAAAGUAAUUUUUCCUUCUCCAGAUAAAUUCUCUACUAUUACUUUGAUGUGAACUUUAGAAAGUUAAAACUGGGUCCCAAAAAAGAAAUAUAAUCUUAGCCUGCAGUGACCAUGUUCAAGGAUUUAUUGUGUGUCAGCUGAUGUGCGUUGGAGAAGCAUGUUUUUGAGAUACCACUGAUGGGAAAUGUGUGUUACUUAAAAGGAAAGGAAAUUAGAAGACAUUUCUUACAAAUCUCAUCAUUGUCUCUUAAUUUUCGAAGAAAGUAGUCACAGGAUAAUUUAGGAAUAUUUACAUAAAAUUUUAAAGAACUGUAUUAUAUUACAAUACCCUUUUCAAACAUCAACAUACUUCACAACCUGCAAUUUCCUUAAUCAGAGAAGAUUUCUUUUUCAUCCUCUGUGUUGGGGGCAGCACUUGAUACAGAGGUUUAACUCUUGAUAAAGCAGACACUUGAAGGCAGAAUCUGAUUAGAAAGCUGUCUGCUUUUUGAUUCUGAAGGUGGGAUGUGCUGGGGCCUUUGGAAUAUGGCUGAGGAGGGAGCGUGUCCUGGACUUUCCAAUGUAUCUUCAGAACGGAAAGAACUAUUACUGGUGAUAUUUGCUGGAACAGAGAUGGUUAAAAUCACUUUCUAUUAAAUUCUGAUUUGGGAGGAAUCGCAUCUUACUCUUUUUGUCUUAUAUAUAUAUAUUUUUAGCUCUCCUCUAUUUUAAAGUGUCACCAUUGUCCUUACACGCAUUAAAAUUAGAAUCUGUUGUUUGCUGAAUUUCUACAAUAGUUUUCCCUCAACUUUAGUUCUGCUUUUCUCUGCCUUUGACUAUACUAAUAAUUAUUUAAAAAUGGCAAUUGUCACUUACUAUGUAUUUUCCCAGCAUGGCGUUAGGUGACACAUAUAUAUUCACUGUCAAAAUCACCUCUCUCAUAGUCAUUCUAAAUAUAAAACAUUACCAACUACACUGAAACUACAAAGACUGAGUCCUUGUUUUUGAGUCAGGAACUUUACGUUUUUUAAGGCCUUUCCCCCUUGUGUUUUCUGCCUUUCAGUGGUAGUUGCUAAAGAGCCCUGAUAAUGCUACAGCCGGUUCUGCAAGCCUUUGGUGGUUCUUGUCACCUCCAGUUUUCCUUCUACUGGAAUUCUCAAGGAGCAGAGUAUUUCUUCGGAGCUUACUCCGCCUUGGAUUCUACUGUUCUUUCUCCUUUUGAUAUUAUUGGCAUAAUUUUGUGUUUGUCGUUUCAAGUUACAGUUGAAGGAAAAAGUCAUCAUCAUUUUCGGAAUACCCAAACUUCUUUCUCUCUCCAAGCAGGUGAUUUUUAUCUUUACAUUAAUGUCAACUUUUCAUCUGUAGUUAUUAAAUAAGAAUAUUAAUAGUUAUAGGCAAAUUUAAUUGCAUAUCUUAGAAAAGGAAUCCACAUAUUAUAUACAUAUAUAUAAUACCACAUUUACAUAUAUGUGGUAUAUAUGUAAAUGCAUUGAAAAAUGUCUGGAAUUCUAUUUAAGAAGAUCUUAAGAGUGAUAGUGUAUAUAAAUAUAAAACCACACUCAUAUCAUCUUUGUAUAACUGAACCAUGAAACACACUCUUUGAAUGCUCUGCAGGAGGGCUCCUGUGCAGUUUAACCAGCCCUUACUCUGGGAAGAAUGUAAACGCUGUAAAUCCUGUGUAUCUCCUUAGCCUCACCACAAUCCCAAAUGCCCAUUUCUACAACCUUCCAACAUAAUUCCAUGUAAUAGAGGAAGAAAAGAUCGUAGGACUUUGAGCCGAGAACAGAGAGUGUAAGGUACUGUUCUUUAAGAAAUGUCCCUUGAGAUGUAAAAAAUCUGAGACUACAUUUAUUAUUAUUUAGUCAAAACUGAAAUUUUAAAUAUCAUUUAAAGAUGAACAAUAAAUUGAUUGUGUCCUUUUAAUGGAUCAGAUAGCUUGGGGACAAAAGUAUGGGAACUUUCCAUGCAUACAUUUUCAAAUAUCUUGAAUUUUGAUUUAUGUGAAUAUAUUAUCUAAUGAUAAUAAAAAAUUUAAAAAUACUUCCAGAAUCUUUUCUCCAGUAAUAUUUUACAUUCUCUUGCCAAAAAUUACUGUGCGCUGUGCUGUGGGGUGGGGACCCUGAAAACUGAGUCUGUUAGAACAAAAUUUUUAAAACAGUCCUGUAUUUCUACUGAAUUUUUGAGGGAUGCCCCAUACAAUUUUAUUGAAAAAAUAGAAGAGAUUAAAUGACUCAAUAAAAAGAAGGAAACUUGUGAAAGAUUGUCCAAGAGGUCUUCCCUCUGGGCCUAGAUUUUUUUUAUAACUGAGUUUUAACCAGCCUUUUAAAUAGGCUUUUCCUAUGCUAGUUAAACGGUUUCUGUUUAUGGAAAAAUGUAUUCUUCAGUCUAUUUUAAAGGGUACCUCUAACAUCAAAACCUGAUGAAGACAGUAUAAAAAAAGAAAAAAAUCUGCCAAUCCUCCCCCUCCUUUUUUCAACAGCAAAAGUUUUUCAUAGCCUCAUUGUCCUAAUCUAUGCUUGCCCACUAUUGGGAAUGAAAUUCAGAAGGGUCUAUCAAAGAAGCUGUGUGUUCCUGUCUGUAUUUUUUUCUAGGUGAAGUUUUAGAUGCAGAUAGGAAGGAAGAACAAGGAGAGGGUAGAUUAUCAGCUCUAGCCAAAGAUGAGAAUUCCAUUUUUUUUUUUAAACCACCGUUACAAACUAGAUUCUCAUGGAAAUCUUCCCUUCAGAACACACAUGCAUGUACACACAUGCCAUACAGACAUCACAACACACACAAAACCCAUUUCUCUAUUUGCUUUAUUUAUUUCUACUUGUACGCAUCUCUGUAGUGGUCUUCGGUAGUGGGCCCGUGGUUGCUAGCCCACAAAAUGUUCCGGGGGUGCAUUUCCUACCAAGUCGUCAGCGUCUCCUCCUAUCCUUAGACUCUUGCCCUUGCAUCUAGGAGUUUCUCUCAUUUGCUUUCCAGGUAUGCCACUUCUCAGUAGCUCAGCUCACGGCAAGUUUCAAUACGUUUCAUUAAUCUGGUCCAUUUAGUACUAUUCCCUCAAGGACAAUCUCCAAUGUCUUAGGUGUACAACCUUUUCUGUACAUUUUCUUGGGAAUUUGGGGAAAGGCAGCCCUCGCUACCAUCUUAUCUGGAAGUGUCUUUAUAGCCCUUAGUUAAAUAAUGUACCUGUAUGUUUUACUAAAACUGAUUCUUGCAUCUUCUGUCUGAAGCAUCCCUCUCAUCAGGAAAUGAGAAAAAGAGGGCACAUGUUUUAUGUUUUCAUAGUACUUUUUAUUGUGAAAGCAAUUUGAUUUUACUUUGAGUGGAAUUUCCUUUUUAUAAAAUUGAAAAUCAAGAAAAAAAAUGUUCUCUAUUUCUCUCUCAUGUGCCUUAAGUAAUGCUGUUAUCCUUAUUAUCUGUCUUCCUCUUGCAUUCCAUGCAGAACAAUUAACUGUCUCUGUACAUUUAUUCUUGCUCCUGUAUAAAGAAUUAGCAACCAUUCCCAUGCAUUUCUGGAAUUCUAUUUCUUAUCUUUUAUGCCACACUACUCUCUCAUAACCAGUUCUAGCUGCAAAUCUAUUUCAAAUGAUUUUACGGGCAAUUUAUUCUUUUCUUUCCAAAGUCUAAGAAUGAUUUUUUUUUUCUUUCCUGUUACCAUGACGUGACAAGUGUUUCAAUUUAUAAUUUUCCGGGAAUUCCUUUAAUGUCCAAAGCAUCUGAUAAGAUACACAUGGGAUCACAAGCUUCCACUUGCUUCGGUACAUUUUCAAUUAUAGAUAGUGAAGCGCUCAGACCUCCUGAGCUCCCGGAACAUAUAUAACCUCCCAUAACUGCUGCAGACCUCCAGCUGCUUCCAUCAUCGCUCAAACUGGGGGUGUCAGGUGGAUCAGUGUGGGAGAUAGUCCACGUGGGAUUUUAAACUGUGUUUGUUUAGAAUUACAGAUUAAUGCUUGCCACCAUUGUCUCUCGAAUACAUUCAGAAAGAAUAAUAAAAGCUGUAGCAGCCUGGUUUAUUUUCCCGUCCACCCUGACAUAACUACUGGAGAGGAAACAUCUUGGUGAAGUGGAAAUAUUACACACUCGGAGUCGACAGAACUGGACUGAAUGCAGUUUUACCGCUUAUUAUGUGCAUGCGUUCAGUCAAGGCACUUGACUUUUCUGAGCCUCAGUAAAAUGGGAUUGAUAUUAGACACUUCCUCAGAGCCAGGAUGCUUCUGAAGAUUGAUAAAGGUAACGAUGGAGUUUAUAAAUGAGAGUUUUUGAAAUAGGGUGAAGUGUUGCAAUGCUCUGACUUGUGUCAAAGUUUAUGUACUCAAGAUCUGCAGGCCUGGGUUUUAAAGGCUGGGGGGGAGGGCAGCUCCUCCCCCACCCCCACCCCUGUUCUCCAGUUCCCACUCCUGUAAGUCCCUGUCAUUGUUCUCUCUAUCGGGUCUCUGGCUCAUGCUUGAGGAUGGUUUCUCCUGAAACAGAAAACACACUGGAGUGCCCAGGUUGAGGCCAGGGCUGGGCUCGCCCUCAGCACUGCUCCACUUGGGGCAUAUUAAUUUUCACAUGAAGGGAUCCAGUGGACAGUUAGAUUUAGAAAAUGGGAGCUCAGUAAGCUUAAAAGUUAGGGGAGAGGACUAGCAACAAGGAAAAAAUUCCAAAUAGAAGAUAAGCCUUUUGCAUUAGUAUACUUAUGAUAGUAUUCCUUACAAAAAAAGAAAAAAAUAGAGGCCACUGAAGCAUCCAAUAUUAGAGGAUGUACAC
rnacentral:lncRNA from 1 species